rnacentral:rRNA from 1 species
GAUGAACGCUGGCGGCGUGCCUAAUACAUGCAAGUCGAGCGGAAAGGCCAGGAGUUUGUGGGGUGGACGAGAGGGGAAGGGGGGAGAGAAACGUGUGUAUAAUGCACCUGUAAGUGGGAUAAAACCAGGGGAAAGGGGGGAAAAUGGAGGAGAAGCUCUUGAACCGCAGGGGGCGUUGGAGAAAUUCGGCGGUGUGGGCUGGACUCGCGGCUUCUGAGCUGGAUGGUGGAGUUGGGGCGGUCACGGGAUUCGACGGGAAGCCGGCCUGAGAGUGUGACCGGCCCCAUUGGGACUGAGAUACGGCCCAGACUCCUACGUGAGGCAUCAGUGGGGAAUAUUGCGCAAUGGGCGGAAGCCUGAUGCAGCAACGCCGCGUGCGAGAUGACGGCCUUCGGGUAGUAACCCGCUUUCGCCUGUGACGAAGCGUGAGUGCCGGUAAUGGGUAAAGAAGCACCGGCUACCUACUG